AAGUCGUAACAAGGUCUCCGUUGGUGAACCAGCGGAGGGAUCAUUACAGAGUUGCAAAACUCCCAACCAUUGUGAACCUACCUACAGUUGCUUCGGCAGGCGGCUUCGUCCUGGAUUCAGUGCUCUCGGGCGCUGGUUUUGGGGAGGAGCUCAGCAUCCUUCAGUGGGUGCGCUUGCCGAUAGCCCCUAAACUCUUUAUAUUUUAGGCCUCUCUGAGUAAAAACAAAAAUAAGUUAAAACUUUCAACAACGGAUCUCUUGGUUCUGGCAUCGAUGAAGGCAGC
rnacentral:misc_RNA from 1 species